UCUUCGAUAGCUCAGUUGGUAGAGUGGUGGACUGUAGGUAGUUAUAGGGGUCAUCCUUAGGUCGCUGGUUAAAAUCCGGCUCGAGGGA